GGAUCUGUAGCUCAGAAGAGUAGAGCGCCGCCCUGUCACGGCGGAGGUCGCCGGUUCGAGUCCGGUCAGGUUCG
rnacentral:tRNA from 1 species